ACGGAGGGUGCAAACGUUUCGGAAUUACUGGGCGUAAAGCGCGCGUAGGCGGUUUGUUAAGUCAGAUGUGAAAGCCCAAGGCUCAACCUUGGACGUGCAUUUGAAACUGGCAAACUUGAGUACUGGAGGGGAUGGUGGAAUUCCCGGUGUAGAGGUGAAAUUCGUAGAUAUCGGGAGGAAUACCGGUGGCGAAGGCGGCCAUCUGGCCAGAUACUGACGCUGAGGUGCGAAAGCGUGGGGAGCAAACAGG
rnacentral:rRNA from 1 species